UUUUUUUUUUUUUUUUUACUCAAAUUGAUUCUUUAUUGCACAUAUUGCUGUUUUAACAAUAAAACUUGGUGUACAGCAUUCCAUCAAGUAUCCCUGCUAAAUUUACUACUAAAUAUCCAGGGAGAAUAUUCCGUAGAAUUAACAAUAAAUAACAUUGGUAUAAAUAUCUGAAUAAAUAAAUUACUGUUACAAACAGUCUUUAUUAAUACAAAAUUUGUAUACUAUUUAUAUUUAUAAUAAUAUCUGUAAUAUUCCAAUAUCUAUAAUUACACAAGUUUGUCGGUAUUUUUACGGAAAUUAUUCUUUACUCCGGAAUUGGUUUUUUAUACUAUCUUUAAUGUAUCAGAAACGAAAUGCGGUCAGUGACCUCGCACGUUCUUUUUCAAUCUUUCAAUUUUGAGAAUACACAAUUUUCAAUCCUGGUGUUUGCAUAUAUUAUUUAAUGAUUUGAAAAUUUGGAAUUAUGAUUCGAAAAGGUUGCUGUAGGCCAUUAGCAUUGACCGUGCAUAUAUGCAGAUAAUUUCUCAUGGUGGUUUAUAGUUGGAUAUUUUAAAUUUCAUACAUGG